rnacentral:rRNA from 1 species
GAAUUUGUGGGCGCGCUUCGGCGCACCCAGAAACCCUUUGUGAACUUAUACCUAUUUGUUGCCUCGGCGUAGGCCGGCCUCUUCACUGAGGCCCCCUGGAAACAGGGAGCAGCCCGCCGGCGGCCAACUAAACUCUUGUUUCUAUAGUGAAUCUCUGAGUGAAAACAUAAAUGAAUCAAAACUUUCAACAACGGAUCUCUUGGUUCUGGCAUCGAUGAAGAACGCAGCGAAAUGCGAUAAGUAAUGUGAAUUGCAGAAUUCAGUGAAUCAUCGAAUCUUUGAACGCACAUUGCGCCCUCUGGUAUUCCGGAGGGCAUGCCUGUUCGAGCGUCAUUUCAACCCUCAAGCCUGGCUUGGUGAUGGGGCACUGCCUUCUAACGAGGGCAGGCCCUGAAAUCUAGUGGCGAGCUCGCUAGGACCCCGAGCGUAGUAGUUAUAUCUCGUUCUGGAAGGCCCUGGCGGUGCCCUGCCGUUAAACCCCCAACUUCUGAAAAUUUGACCUCGGAUCAGGUAGGAAUAC